UACGAAGGGUGCAAACGUUGCUCGGAAUUAUUGGGCGUAAAGAGCGCGCAGGCGGUCGAUCAAGUCGCGUGUGAAAGCCCCCGGCUCAACUGGGGAGGGUCACGCGAUACUGAUCGACUCGAAGGCAGGAGAGGGUAGUGGAAUUCCCGGUGUAGCGGUGGAAUGCGUAGAGAUCCGGAAGAACACCGGUGGCGAAGGCGGCCUGCUGGGCAGUAGCUGACACUGAGGCGCGACAGCGUGGGGAGCAAACAGG
rnacentral:rRNA from 1 species